AAUAUUCUAAAAAUUUUCUAUAAAUAUCUUGCACUCCAUUUUAGUUUUACACAAGCCUCCACCAUCAGGUUAAUAAUCAUGCUUUCCGCUUCCUCCACCACCCCUUUGCGGAAGUAUGAUGUCUUUCUCAGUUUUAGUGGCCAAGACAUCCGCCGCAGUUUUGUUAGUCAUCUCCGCGAAGCCCUGUGUCAACACCAAAUCAAUACUUUCAUGGAUGAAACCCUUGAAAUAGGAGAAGAAAUCUCUCUUACCCUCAUGAAAAAAAUUGAAGAAUCAAAUAUUUCAGUAGUUAUUUUCUCCAAAAGCUAUGUUUAUUCUCAUUGGUGUUUGGACGAACUCGUAAAAAUACUCGAAUGCAAGGAUUCCAUGCAGCAAAUAGUUUUGCCAAUUUUUUACCACGUGGAUCCCGAAGAUUUUCAAGAGCUCAAAGGAAGUAUUGGGGAUGCACUUGCUAAGUAUAAAGAAGAAUUCAUGAACAGUUCCGACAAGGUUGAGAGAUGGAGCCAUGCGUUGAUGGAAAUAGCCAAGGUAACAGGGUGGGAUUCAAAGAACAUCAAGCCUGAGUCCAAAUUGAUUAAGUUAAUUGUCAACGACAUUUGGAAGAAACUGAAUCAAAUGACCAUAAAUGAUUUUGAUCAUGGCUUAGUUUGAAUUGAUUCGCGCAUCAAAGAAGUUGAGUCAUUAUUAUGCAUUGGAUUAGAAGACGUACCUUCCCUAGGAAUUUGGGGAAUUGGUGGUGAGGUAAAACAACCAUUGCUGGGGUUUUUACGCAAUCAAAUCUCUGCUUAAUUUGAGAGUCAAUGCUUUGUUGCAAAUGUAAGGGAAGAAUUAGAAAAGCGCCCCACAGUUCAUUUACGAGAUGAAAUCCUUUCCAAAGUGUUGCGGGCAGAUAUAAAGAUUGGCACACCUAAUGUUUUACCAUCUUUCAUUAAGAACAUGCUUUUGAAGAAGAGGUUUCUUAUUGUUCUUGAUGAUGUGAGCAGUCCCCUGCAGUUAAAAUCUUUGCUGGAAGAGCAUGAUUCAAAAGGCUUGGGGAGCAGAAUUAUUAUAGCAAGUAGAAAUAAGCAAGUGCUUAGGUACGGAUGCACCAAAAUUUAUGAGGUUAAGGAGCUGCUUCACCAUGAAGCUUUUCAGCUCUUUCAAUUUCAUGCAUUCAGGCAAAAUCAACCCUCAGAAGCAGAUGUGGAUUUGUUACACAGGGCUAUAAACUAUGCUAAAGGCAUUCCAUUAGCUCUUAUCUUGUUAGGUUCCAACCUAUGUGACAAGCAUAUUGAAGAAUGGGAAAGUGAAUUGGUAAAGUUAGAAGGCACUCCCAAUAAGGAUAUUAAAACAUUCUGAGAAUUAGUUAUGUUGGACUAGAUCAGAAUGAAAAGAAUAUAUUUCUCGAUGUUGUGUGUUUCUUUAAAAGGGAAGACAAUGGUCGGGUUAUAUAUAUAUUAGAUAGCUUUGGUUUCUCUGCAAAAAGUGGAAUAAGUCAUCUCAAGGAUAAGUCUCUUGUAAAUAUUUCAGAAAACAAGUUAGAGAUGCAUGAUUUGCUACAGCAAAUGGGCAAGGAUAUUGUUGACCAAGAAUGUAUAAAACAACCAGGAAAGCGUAGCAGGCUGUGGAACUACAAGGAUAUCUACCAUGCAUUAACCAAGGAUAAGGUGAGAACCAUUUUCAAACUGGAUUUUUAAAGAUUUGCACUAGGAAGUAGAUGCUUAUUUCAUUAUAUAUGUGCGUGCAUGUGUUGUGUAUCGUGCAUGGAACUAAGUCGAAGGCAUGAUUCUGAACAUGUCCCAAAUUAAAGAUGUGGAACUAAGUUCUACAGUCUUCAUGAAAAUGGAAAAUCUUAGAUUCCUGAAAUUCUACAAUCCUUGCUCUGCAAAAAUCGAAGUGCAUUUUCCUAAAGGCCUCAAAUUGCUUCCUGAUGGGCUAAGUUUUCUUCAGUGGGAUGAAUACCUCCAAAGUUUUUUCCAUCAAAAUUUUCCCCCAAGAAUCUCAUUGAAUUUCACAUGCGUAAAAGCCAACUCAAACUACUUCGGAGUGAAGAUCAGAUUGCUGAAGAUUUACAAUUUAUCGACCUCAGCCAUUCUAUGAACCUAAUUAAAACACCAGAGUUGUCUAAAUUCCCAAAACUUGAGGUUUUGCAUUUGAAGGAUUGUACAAGUUUGGUUGGGAUUUCCACGUCUUUAAAGUUGCUCAAAAUUGGCGAGUCUUCCAGGCAGCACUGGCGAGUUGAAAUCUCUUCAGUAUCUUGAUCUCCAAGGAUGCUCAAACCUAGCAAGUCUUCCGGAUGGCAUUGGCGAGUUCAAAUAUCUUCAGCAUCUUGAUCUCGGGGGAUGCUCGAAACUAGGAAGCCUUCCAAGCAGCAUUUGUGAGUUGAAAUGUCUCCGUCAUCUUUAUCUUAAGGAAUGCUCAAAACUAGUAAGUCUUCCGAUUAGCAUCGGAGAGUUGACAUGUCUUAAGCAUCUUGAUCUCAAGGGAUGCUCAAAGCUAGGACACCUUCCAAUCAGCAUUGGCAAGUUGAAAUAUGAGAAUGUUUAUCUGAA